rnacentral:rRNA from 1 species
UUACAACCAUUACGCCAGCAUCCUAGCCGAAGCGCGGACCUCAGUCCCGGCUGGCCGUAUUACACCCUGGGCUAUAACACCUCCACCGAAGUGGAGGCCACAUUCCCAGAGCCUUUAUCCGGCCGCCGAAACUGAUGCUGGCCUGUCCAAACUGAGUAAACCGGUCAGAAGACCGGCCGAACAGUUUAAACAAGUCUGAUUGCAAGCGCUUCCCUUUCAACAAUUUCACGUGCUUUUUAACUCUCUUUCCAAAGUGCUUUUCAUCUUUCGAUCACUCUACUUGUGCGCUAUCGGUCUCUCGCCAAUAUUUAGCUUUAGAAGAAAUUUACCUCCCAUUUAGAGCUGCAUUCCCAAACAACUCGACUCGUCGAAGGAGAUUUACAUAGGGUGCCAUUUCCUGUCACAUACGGGAUUCUCACCCUCUAUGACGUCCUGUUCCAAGGAACUUAGACAGGCGGCUUCCCCAAAUCAUCCUCUACAAAUUACAAUGCGAACCCGAAGGCUAGCUUUCAAAUUUGAGCUGUUGCCGCUUCACUCGCCGUUACUAGGG